UACGAAGGGUGCAAGCGUUUAAUCGGAAUUACUGGGCGUAAAGGGUGCGUAGGCGGUUGUUUAAGUCUGUCGUGAAAUCCCCGGGCUCAACCUGGGAAUGGCGAUGGAUACUGGGCAGCUAGAGUGUGUCAGAGGAUGGUGGAAUUCCCGGUGUAGCGGUGAAAUGCGUAGAGAUCGGGAGGAACAUCAGUGGCGAAGGCGGCCAUCUGGGACAACACUGACGCUGAAGCACGAAAGCGUGGGGAGCAAACGGGG
rnacentral:rRNA from 1 species